UUGGCCGAUGAAUCAAAGCAAAUGAGAACCGCAAUUUAUCAACACCAUAUAGCCCUUGAUUAUUUACUAGCAGAGGAAGGGGGAUUGUGUGCAAAAUUAAAUGAGUCUAAUUGUUGUUUACAGAUAGACGAUAAUGGAAAGGCAGUC